UAGGGAAUCUUCGGCAAUGGGGGGAACCCUGACCGAGCAACGCCGCGUGAGUGAAGAAGGUUUUCGGAUCGUAAAGCUCUGUUGUUAAGGAAGAACGAGUGUGAGAAUGGAAAGUUCAUACUGUGACGGUACUUAACCAGAAAGGGACGGCUAACUACGUGCCAGCAGCCGCGGUAAUACGUAGGUCCCGAGCGUUGUCCGGAUUUAUUGGGCGUAAAGCGAGCGCAGGCGGUUAGAUAAGUCUGAAGUGAAAGGCAGUGGCUCAACCAUUGUAGGCUUUGGAAACUGUUUAACUUGAGUGCAGAAGAGGAGAGUGGAAUUCCAUGUGUAGCGGUGAAAUGCGUAGAUAUAUGGAGGAACACCAGUGGCGAAGGCGACUCUCUGGUCUGUAACUGACGCUGAGGCUCGAAAGCGUGGGUAGCAAACAGG
rnacentral:rRNA from 1 species